UGGGGAAUAUUGCACAAUGGGCGCAAGCCUGAUGCAGCCAUGCCGCGUGUAUGAAGAAGGCCUUCGGGUUGUAAAGUACUUUCAGUCGGGAGGAAGGUGGUAAGGUUAAUAACCUUAUCAAUUGACGUUACCGACAGAAGAAGCACCGGCUAACUCCGUGCCAGCAGCCGCGGUAAUACGGAGGGUGCAAGCGUUAAUCGGAAUUACUGGGCAUAAAGCGCACGCAGGCGGUUGAUUGAGUCAGAUGGGAAAUCCCCGGGCUUAACCCGGGAAUUGGAUCUGAUAAUGGUCAGCUAGAGUCUUGUAGAGGGGGGUAGAAAUCCAUGUGUAGCGGUGAAAUGCGUAGAGAUUGGGAGGAAUACCGGUGGCGAAGGGGGCCCCCUGGACAAAGACUGACAGUCAGGUGCGAAAGGGGGGGGAGCAAACAGG
rnacentral:rRNA from 1 species